rnacentral:rRNA from 1 species
AUUGAACGCUGGCGGCAGGCCUAACACAUGCAAGUCGAGCGCUAGCACAGAGAGCUUGCUCUCGGGUGACGAGCGGCGGACGGGUGAGUAAUGUCUGGGAAACUGCCCGAUGGAGGGGGAUAACUACUGGAAACGGUAGCUAAUACCGCAUAACGUCGCAAGACCAAAGAGGGGGACCUUCGGGCCUCUUGCCAUCGGAUGUGCCCAGAUGGGAUUAGCUAGUAGGUGGGGUAACGGCUCACCUAGGCGACGAUCCCUAGCUGGUCUGAGAGGAUGACCAGCCACACUGGAACUGAGACACGGUCCAGACUCCUACGGGAGGCAGCAGUGGGGAAUAUUGCACAAUGGGCGCAAGCCUGAUGCAGCCAUGCCGCGUGUAUGAAGAAGGCCUUCGGGUUGUAAAGUACUUUCAGCGGGGAGGAAGGCGAUAAGGUUAAUAGCCUUGUCGAUUGACGUUACCCGCAGAAGAAGCACCGGCUAACUCCGUGCCAGCCGCCGCAGUAAUAC